AAAAAAAAAAAAAAAAGUAGAAAUCUAAGACCCAGCAAAUUGCAAGAACAGUUUUCAACACAAUAACCUCAAUCUUCAACACAUCAACCCGAAUUGUUAGUAGCUAAAAUGGCAGACCCCAAAUCAAGAGGCCGAGAACUUGAGAGUUGACAAUAGAGGAGAGUGGCAAUGAGAGGUGAUAUCGGAUUUGGCUUGAGUGACAGGAGGUUGUUGAGGCCUGAGUGGGAUGGAUAUGAGUAAACCAAGUGACUUGAGAGAGAGGGCUGUGUAGGUGAAGCCAUGAGCUGCAAUCAAUGCAGAGUCAAGGCCAGGUGCAGGCAUGAGGACCAAGAAUGUGACUUGUGAGGCAUAAGCAGAGAUGAGAGACCAAAGCCAUGGAUAGCAACAAAGAUUGAGACUUGAGAGUAGAACACCAUGAGAGAGAGAGGGAGAGAGGAGGCGAGAAAUAGGGGGCUAGGGGUUAGGUUUGACAGUGAGGUGAGGAGGAGGCUGUGACAAUGAGAAGCGAGAAAAGAUAUGAGAAAGAGGGUAGGGAUUUUAGGUAUGAAAGAUGGUUUUCCUGCUCUUUUGGUUUUGGAAUGGGUAAACCUCUAAAAUUGUAGUCUUCUAAGGUCUGAACAACAGUCACAUAAUAUGCACUUGUAACUUUGGUCAGUUUGGUUAUUAUGUGUUUUUUCAUCUCAAUAACUGAACCAAACUAACCAAAGUUUCUAAAAAUACUAACCAAAAUGAACAAUUUAAACUGAAAAACCUAACUAAAACAGUUUGGUUCUUUUUUUUAAUAUAUAUUUUUUUUUAUUAUAACCAAACACUGCUCAUCCCAGUUUGUCUGAUCUCUGAAGAUUGUACCAGAAAAAUAAGUAUUAAAAUUGUAUAAUUUGACUUUCAACUCUUCCCAACUAUUAAAAUUGCCAAUGAAUUUGUUAUGGUCCCAAUUUCCUACAUCAGUUUUGUGGGGAACCUGAAAAGACGCAUUGUAAGAAACAAAAGUGUGGACCCCCAUGCAGAGUAUUAGGGGCAAGUUUUUCUGAAGCAUUUUGUUGGUAUCAAAGCUGACUCCAUGCCUGCAGCUCUGUAGCAUAUACUGAAAGAAUUGUUUGUAGCACUGGAUUAAAAUUGCUGGUAGACACAAGAGAAGGUGAUGUAGUAACAGGGCCAGUAUGGGAGGGAGCCAUUUAGAAAAUCAGUUGUGAAAGCAUGUUGGAUUUUUAUGGUCUCAGUAUCCCACAUCAGUUACAUGGGGAAUUUAUUGUGGGUAUAUAAUAAUUUGUAUUUUGUUAGCUUUUCGUUUUAGGAGAGAAGCAUUACAUAUUUCUGAGGA
rnacentral:misc_RNA from 1 species